GAUGAACGCUGGCGGCGUGCUUAACACAUGCAAGUCGAACGGUGAACGAGGGAGCUUGCUCCCUCCGGAUCAGUGGCGAACGGGUGAGUAACACGUGAGCAAUCUGCCCUGGACUCUGGGAUAAGCGUUGGAAACGACGUCUAAUACCGGAUACGAGGCGUGGGGGCAUCCCCAACGCCUGGAAAGAACUUCGGUCCAGGAUGAGCUCGCGGCCUAUCAGCUAGUUGGUGAGGUAACGGCUCACCAAGGCGACGACGGGUAGCCGGCCUGAGAGGGUGACCGGCCACACUGGGACUGAGACACGGCCCAGACUCCUACGGGAGGCAGCAGUGGGGAAUAUUGCACAAUGGGCGCAAGCCUGAUGCAGCAACGCCGCGUGAGGGACGACGGCCUUCGGGUUGUAAACCCCUUUUAGCAGGGAAGAAGCGAAAGUGACGGUACCUGCAGAAAAAGCACCGGCUAACUACGUGCCAGCCGCCGCAGUAAAAC
rnacentral:rRNA from 1 species